GGGUGAUUAGCUCAGCUGGGAGAGCACCUCCCUUACAAGGAGGGGGUAGUUGGUAGAGCAGUUGACUUUUAAUCAAUUGGUCGCAGGUUCGAAUCCUGCACGACCCACCA
rnacentral:tRNA from 1 species